UACGGAGGGAGCUAGCGUUAUUCGGAAUUACUGGGCGUAAAGCGCACGUAGGCGGCUUUGUAAGUUAGAGGUGAAAGCCUGGAGCUCAACUCCAGAAUUGCCUUUGAUACUGCAUGGCUUGAAUCCAGGAGAGGUGAGUGGAAUUCCGAGUGUAGAGGUGAAAUUCGUAGAUAUUCGGAAGAACACCAGUGGCGAAGGCGGCUCACUGGAGCUGGUAUUGACGCUGAGGUGCGAAAGCGUGGGGAGCAAACAGG
rnacentral:rRNA from 1 species